ACCGGCGCACGGGUGCGUAACGCGUAUGCAACUUACCCUACACUGGGGGAUAGUCGGGAGAAAUUCUGAAUAAUACCCCAUAGGCCAUUAGUACUGCAUGGUAUAGAUGGUAAAGAUUUAUUGGUGUAGGAUGGGCAUGCGUCCGAUUAGCUAGUUGGCGGGGUAAUGGCUCACCAAGGCGACGAUCGGUAGGGGGUCUGAGAGGAUGAUCCCCCACACUGGUACUGAGAUACGGACCAGACUCCUACGGGAGGCAGCAGUAGGGAAUAUUGGUCAAUGGGCGAGAGCCUGAACCAGCCAUGCCGCGUGCAGGAAGAAGGCCUUCUGGGUUGUAAACUGCUUUUAUACAGGAAGAAAAGGCCCCUGCGGGGGAUAUUGACGGUAUUGUAUGAAUAAGCACCGGCUAACUCCGUGCCAGCAGCCGCGGUAAUACGGAGGGUGCGAGCGUUGUCCGGAUUUAUUGGGUUUAAAGGGUGCGUAGGCGGCCGAUUAAGUCAGUGGUGAAAGCCGGCAGCUUAACUGUCGAGGUGCCAUUGAUACUGGUUGGCUUGUAUUUUGUUGAGGUAGGCGGAAUUGAUGGUGUAGCGGUGAAAUGCAUAGAUACCAUCAGGAACAUCGAUUGCGAAGGCAGCUUACUGGGCAAGGAUAGACGCUGAGGCACGAAAGUGUGGGGAUCAAACAGGAUUAGAUACCCUGGUAGUCCACACUGUAAACGAUGAUUACU
rnacentral:rRNA from 1 species